rnacentral:rRNA from 1 species
GAUGAACGCUGGCGGCGUGCCUAACACAUGCAAGUCGAGCGAAGCGGGGACGGGUGAGUAACACGUGGAUAACCUCCUAUAAGACUGGGAUAACCUCGGGAAACCGGUGCCAAACCGGAUACUUUUAGAUGGAUCCGGUCUGCAUUAGCUAGUUGGUAAGGUAACGGCUUACCAAGGCAACGAUGCAUCGCCGGCCUGAGAGGGUGAUCGGCCACACUGGAACUGAGACACGGUCCAGACUCCUACGGGAGGCAGCAGUAGGGAAUCUUCCGCAAUGGGCGAAAGCCUGACGGAGCAACGCCGCGUGAGUGAUGAAGGUCUUCGGAUCGUAAAACUCUGUUAUUAGGGAGGCGGUACCUAAACAGAAAGCCACGGCUAACUACGUGCCAGCAGCCGCGGUAAUAC